UUUGCAUGUGCGCGUUUUUUUAAAUUGAAUAAAAUUUAUUAAAAUAAAUAAAAUUAGUUAAAGAUAUCGGAGUUUUAAUAAAUAAUUUAAUAAAACUAUUUAUAUAAACGAAGUUUUUUUUUGUUUAAAUAACUCCAAGUGACGUGAGUGAAGUGGUAGUGCAAAGGAACAUCCAACUAUUGAAGUAUGCUGUAGACGAGUGUGCUGGGGAGUGAUUACAGAUGAUUCACCAAUAAUAAUAAAGCCAUAACCUUAGGGCAAGGUUAAAGCAGGAGUUCCCCAAGGAAAUGUAAAAGGUCCGCUAUUAUACCUACUGUAUAAGUUAACCAGUGCUGAUCAGCAUAUAUAUGUAACUACGAUGUCAGUGACCCACUUCAUGCGCAUAAAUAAAAUUGUCGCUUUAACGCAGCAACGAUUUACGCAAUAGCGAAUUCCAUUGCGGUGCAAAGAACUAGAGGCAAGCGCGUGUUGACAUUGUUAUUGUAUUUAAAUAAUAAAUAAAAAUUAGCUUAUAUUCAAAAUUUGUAAAAUAAGCAAAAUAAUUUGUA